AUGGAUCACAGGGCGAAGCGGGUGGCGAUCGUCGGCGCCGGCACGAGCGGGCUGGCGGCGUGCAAGCUCCUGCUGGCGCGCGGGUUCCGGCCGGUGGUGUUUGAGGCCGGGGAGUCCGUGGGCGGGCUGUGGACGCGCACGCUCGCCUCCACCAGGCUCCAGUCGCCCACCGCCGCCUAUCGCUACUCGGACUUCCCCUGGCCGGACUCCGCGGGCGCGUUCCCGCGCCACGACCAGGUCGUCGACUACCUCGCCGCCUACGCGCGCCGCUUCGGCGUCGACGCGUGCGUCAGGUUCCGGAGCCGGGUCGUCGCCGCGGAGUACGUCGGUGCGGAGCCGGAGGGCGCGGCGGACGUGUGGGAGAGGUGGAACGGCAACGGCGAGGCCUUCGGCGACGGCUCGGGCGCGUGGCGCCUCACCGUGGGCCACCGCGGCGCCGGCAAGCAGGAGCCGGAGACGCAGGAGGUGCACGAGUUCGACUUCCUGAUCCUCUGCAUCGGCAGGUUCAGCGGCGUGCCCAACAUCCCGGUGGCGUUCCCGGGACCGGAGGCGUUCCGGGGGCGGGUGCUCCACUCCAUGGAGCUCUCCGACAUGGCCGACGCGGACGCCGCGGCACUGGUCAAGGGGAAGCGCGUCGCCGUCAUCGGCUCCAGCAAGUCUGCCUUCGAGAUCGCCGCCGACUGCGCGGAGGCCAACGGUGCGGCGUCGCCGUGCACGAUGGUGUGCCGGAACCCUCAGUGGCUGCUGCACAGCGCGAACGUGUGGGGCGGGAUCAGCAUCGGGUACCUCUACAUGAACCGCUUCGCCGAGCUCAUGGUCCCCCGGCCCGGCGCCGGCGCCGCCUCCCGCCUACUCGCCGCGCUGCUCGCGCCGCUCGCGUGGGCGAUAUCGGCGGCGACGGGGGCGUACUACCGGAGGGCGAUCCCGAUGCGGGAGCACGGCAUGGAGCCCGGGCACGGGUUCGCGAGGAGCGUGUCGUCGUGCCUCCUCUCCAUGCUCCCCGACGGGUUCUACGACAAGGUGAAGGAAGGCAGCGUCGUCUUCGCGAGGUCCAGGUCCUUCGUCUUCUGCCACGACGGCCUGGUGCUCGACGGCGCCGGCGCCGAGAAGCGCGUCGUGCCAGCCGACGUGGUGGUCCUGGCCACGGGCUUCCUCGGCGACGAGAAGCUGAAAGACAUGUUCGCGUCGCCGCGGGUGAAGGACAUCAUCGCCGGGUCGCCGGACACGGCCGUGCCGCUGUACCGGGAGUGCGUGCACCCGCGGAUCCCGCAGAUGGCGGUGGUGGGGCACGCGGAGGGGCUGAACAACAUCUACGCGAGCGAGAUGACGGCCAAGUGGGUGGCGCGGCUGCUGGACGGCGCGUUCCGGCUGCCGGGCGUGCGGCGGAUGGAGGAGAGCUGCGCGGAGUGGGGCAGGUACUACGCGCGUCGGAGCGGCGGCGGCGGUGAGGGGCAGCGCCCGUGGAGGCCGUGCCUCGGCGCCGUCAACGUGUGGUACAACGACGAGCUGUGCCGCGACAUGGGGUGCGACCCGAGGAGGAAGAGGAGGAAGGGGCAGGGGCUCCUCGCCGAGUGGUUCCAGCCGUACGGCGCCGUCGACUACGCCGACAUCCAGUGA
rnacentral:rRNA from 1 species